rnacentral:rRNA from 1 species
UAGAGUUUGAUCAUGGCUCAGGACGAACGCUGGCGGCGUGCCUAAUACAUGCAAGUCGAACGCUUCUUUUUCCACCGGAGCUUGCUCCACCGGAAAAAGAGGAGUGGCGAACGGGUGAGUAACACGUGGGUAACCUGCCCAUCAGAAGGGGAUAACACUUGGAAACAGGUGCUAAUACCGUAUAACAAUCGAAACCGCAUGGUUUUGAUUUGAAAGGCGCUUUCGGGUGUCGCUGAUGGAUGGACCCGCGGUGCAUUAGCUAGUUGGUGAGGUAACGGCUCACCAAGGCGACGAUGCAUAGCCGACCUGAGAGGGUGAUCGGCCACAUUGGGACUGAGACACGGCCCAAACUCCUACGGGAGGCAGCAGUAGGGAAUCUUCGGCAAUGGACGAAAGUCUGACCGAGCAACGCCGCGUGAGUGAAGAAGGUUUUCGGAUCGUAAAACUCUGUUGUUAGAGAAGAACAAGGAUGAGAGUAACUGUUCAUCCCUUGACGGUAUCUAACCAGAAAGCCACGGCUAACUACGUGCCAGCAGCCGCGGUAAUACGUAGGUGGCAAGCGUUGUCCGGAUUUAUUGGGCGUAAAGCGAGCGCAGGCGGUUUCUUAAGUCUGAUGUGAAAGCCCCCGGCUCAACCGGGGAGGGUCAUUGGAAACUGGGAGACUUGAGUGCAGAAGAGGAGAGUGGAAUUCCAUGUGUAGCGGUGAAAUGCGUAGAUAUAUGGAGGAACACCAGUGGCGAAGGCGGCUCUCUGGUCUGUAACUGACGCUGAGGCUCGAAAGCGUGGGGAGCAAACAGGAUUAGAUACCCUGGUAGUCCACGCCGUAAACGAUGAGUGCUAAGUGUUGGAGGGUUUCCGCCCUUCAGUGCUGCAGCUAACGCAUUAAGCACUCCGCCUGGGGAGUACGACCGCAAGGUUGAAACUCAAAGGAAUUGACGGGGGCCCGCACAAGCGGUGGAGCAUGUGGUUUAAUUCGAAGCAACGCGAAGAACCUUACCAGGUCUUGACAUCCUUUGACCACUCUAGAGAUAGAGCUUCCCCUUCGGGGGCAAAGUGACAGGUGGUGCAUGGUUGUCGUCAGCUCGUGUCGUGAGAUGUUGGGUUAAGUCCCGCAACGAGCGCAACCCUUAUUGUUAGUUGCCAUCAUUUAGUUGGGCACUCUAGCAAGACUGCCGGUGACAAACCGGAGGAAGGUGGGGAUGACGUCAAAUCAUCAUGCCCCUUAUGACCUGGGCUACACACGUGCUACAAUGGGAAGUACAACGAGUCGCAAAGUCGCGAGGCUAAGCUAAUCUCUUAAAGCUUCUCUCAGUUCGGAUUGUAGGCUGCAACUCGCCUACAUGAAGCCGGAAUCGCUAGUAAUCGCGGAUCAGCACGCCGCGGUGAAUACGUUCCCGGGCCUUGUACACACCGCCCGUCACACCACGAGAGUUUGUAACACCCGAAGUCGGUGAGGUAACCUUUUGGAGCCAGCCGCCUAAGGUGGGAUAGAUGAUUGGGGUGAAGUCGUAACAAGGUAGCCGUAUCGGAAGGUGCGGUUGGAUCACCUCCUUA